rnacentral:rRNA from 1 species
GCUGGUUCUCCCCGAAAUAGCUUUAGGGCUAGCCUCAGGUGGUGAUUACAGGCGGUAGAGCACUGAUCAGGAGAGGGACCUACCCGGUUACCAAACCCAGUCAAACUCCGAAUGGCUGUAAUCAAACCUGGGAGUCAGACUACGACUUAUAAGGGCCGUGGUCAAGAGGGAAACAGCCCAGAUCAUCAGCUAAGGUCCCAAAUGCCGUGCUAAGUGGCGAAGGAUGUGGCGUUUCAUAAACAACCAGGAUGUUGGCUCAGAAGCAGCCACCAUUCAAAGAGUGCGUAAUAGCUCACUGGUCGAGAGACGCUGCGCCGAAGAUGUCCGGGGCUCAAGCACGGAACCGAAGCUAUGGCAGAUUGCUUGCAAUCUGGGUAGGGGAGCGUUCUUAUCACGGAGAAGCGGUACCGGAAGGAGCCGUGGAGAGGUAAGAAGUGAGAAUGCUGGUAUGAGUAUCGAAAAGGCUGGUGAGAAUCCAGCCCACCGAAAGCCCGAGGGUUCCUGAGCAACGAUCGUCGUCUCAGGGUAAGUCGGGACCUAAGCCGAGGCAAAGACGCAUAGGCGAUGGAGAACAGGUUGAAAUUCCUGUACCGGAGCAGUCCGUCUGAGCGAUGGAGUGACGCAGCAGGGCACACGAGCAUGCGGCUGGAAGAGCAUGUCCAAGCCCGUAGCCCGUAUGGCAGGGAAAUCCGCCAUGCAAAAGGGUGAGAGGUGACGGGGAGUUAAAGGAAACUUUGACGAACUCGUGAAUCCCACACUGCCAAGAAAAGCUUCUAGCGAGGACUGAUCCGCCCGUACCGUAAACCGACACAGGUAGGCGGGGAGAGAAUCCUAAGGUGCGCGGGAAAACCCUCGUUAAGGAACUCGGCAAAUUGCAUCCGUAACUUCGGAAGAAGGAUGGCCCUGAGUAGGCGAAGAGUCUUGCACUUGGAACCGGAAAGGGCGGCAGAAAAGAGGCCCAAGCAACUGUUUACCAAAAACACAGGUGCCUGCGAAAGCGAAAGCUGACGUAUAGGUGCUGACGCCUGCCCGGUGCUGGAAGGUUAAGGAGAGAGGUUAGCGCAAGCGAAGCUUUGAACUGAAGCCCCAGUGAACGGCGGCCGUAACUAUAACGGUCCUAAGGUAGCGAAAUUCCUUGUCGGGUAAGUUCCGACCCGCAUGAAAGGCGUAAUGAUUUGGGCACUGUCUCAACGAGGGGCCCGGUGAAAUUGAAAUACCUGUGAAGAUGCAGGUUACCCGCGACUGGACAGAAAGACCCCAUGGAGCUUUACUGCAGCUUGAGACGGAAUCUCGGAAGUAGACGCACAGGAUAGGUGGGAGGCUUUGAAACAUACACUUAGGUGGAUGUGGAGCCGCUGUUGGGAUACCACCCUUCUAGUUCUGGGAUUCUAACGCGAGGAGUAACGACCCUGCGGACAAUCUCAGGCAGGCGGUUUGACUGGGGCGGUCGCCUCCGAAAGAGUAACGGAGGCGCCCAAAGGUUCCCUCAGGCCGGACAGAAACCGGCCGGCGAGUGCAAAGGCAGAAGGGAGCUUGACUGCGAGACCGACAAGUCGAGCAGAGACGAAAGUCGGGCUUAGUGAUCCGGUGGCCCUGCGUGGAAAGGCCAUCGCUCAACGGAUAAAAGCUACCCUGGGGAUAACAGGCUAAUCUCUCCCAAGAGUUCAUAUCGACGGGGAGGUUUGGCACCUCGAUGUCGGCUCAUCACAUCCUGGGGCUGGAGUAGGUCCCAAGGGUUGGGCUGUUCGCCCAUUAAAGUGGUACGCGAGCUGGGUUCAAAACGUCGUGAGACAGUUUGGUUCAUAUCCAUCGCGGGCGUAAGAAGUUUGAGGGGAGCUGCUCCUAGUACGAGAGGACCGGAGUGGACGGAUCAACGGUGUACCAGUUGUCACGCCAGUGGCACGGCUGGAAAGCCGCAUCCGGAAGGGAUAAACGCUGAAAGCAUCUAAGCGUGAAGCCCACCCCGAGAUGAGACUUCU